rnacentral:lncRNA from 1 species
CAUAAAGGCGGAGUCUUGUACCCCUAACUCAUCCAUCGGGUCUAGAAAUAGGUGCAGUUCUCGUGCCCCUGCGACCGUGAGCAAUAGCGGGUUGCAGAUUGCCGUCACUGGCGUUCCACCUACUCGAUGGCCCAGGUGCUAGAGAAGUGUUAAGCUGGUGCAGUAGGGAGUGUAGAUCGUGUACAAGGUGAUUUCAGGGCGCAUGAGUGGGUGCUUCAUCGACAAUUCCUCGCCGGAGGCGGGGGAGCCCCAUGGUGCCGCCCUUCGACGAGAACGAGGGUCCUUGAGUGUGACACCCCUUGGCCGACGGCGAGUCGCCCCGACGUGAGACAACACAGGAUGAACGCGCGCAACUCUCAGGUGAGUUUGUGCGGUGGUUUUUCUCUCUAUUAUUUUCUUUCUGCUCAAGUCUUAGAGAUUACAGUAUUUAAGCCACGCUUGGCCGACCCACACCAAUCUCCAUAGCUAUGAGAAUACGGCCCAACAACGGCCCACACAACCACACACGCCCAAUGCUACGCAACCAGCAACCUCUUGCCUUUCUCUUCUCUGAUGACGCCUUGUCAGUUAGGCACAAGCCUGACAUCUGCCCCCUCUGGAGAAGUUGCUUGUCCCCAAGCAAGAGCGUCGGGAAAGCGUUGCUUGACCACAUAAAAGUCCUCCCAGGUAGUUGAAUCUUCAGGAAUACCACUCCACUGUACCAAAACUUGGGGCACUGCCCGAUGACCCUUCUUCACCAAUAGACGAUCCAACACGGCCACAGGAAGCAAACUUCGAGUAGCAAAAUCCACAGAGCAAGGCAAGUCGGAAAAGACAGGCGUAUGAUUUGGAAUAAACGGUUUCAGCUGGGACACGUGAAAAACUGGAUGAACUUGAGCAGCAGCAGGUAGAUCCAGCUUAUAGGCAACCUCACCCACUUUCUCAAGCACCCGAUAGGGACCAUAGAAUUUCAGAGCUAGCUUGGGGCAAGGACGGUUGACAACAGAACGUUGUGCAUAUGGUUGUAGUUUCAGCAAGACCAUCUCACCCACUUGAAAAUGUCUUUCAGUUCGACCCCGAUCAGCUUGCAUCUUCAUACGAUUUUGUGCAGCAGCCAACUGUUCCUUGAGCAUUUCUGUAAAAACAGCACGAUCAGCCAACACCUGAGCCACAUCAGCAUCAGUUGCAUCUGGAAUCAGAGGAGCAGCUGGAAAUGGAGGGUCAUAACCAUAAAGCACCUUAAACGGGGAACAGCCCAAAGUAGUGUGAUAAGAUGUGUUGUACCAAAAUUCUGCUAAAGCCAGCCAAUUCUUCCACUGAUGAGGAUAAUUGUGAACGGCACAACGCAAGUACAUCUCCAAGCACUGAUUCACGCGCUCGCUCUGACCAUCCGUUUGAGGAUGGUAAGCAGUACUGAGACUGAGUUUAGUGCCCAAAAGCCUGAACAAAUGUGUCCAAAAAGAACUAGUAAACACCCUAUCACGGUCACUGACUAUAGACCGAGGUAGGCCAUGUAAUUUCACCACUUGCUCCAAGAUGACCUGAGCCACUUGCUGAGCAGAAAAAGGAUGCUUCAUCGCCAAAAAGUGGGCAUACUUCGAAAAACGGUCAACGACCACCAGAAUAGUAUCAUGGCCCCCAGAUUUAGGCAACUUCUCAAUAAAAUCCAUUGUUAUAUCCUGCCACAUGCCUUGAGGAACAGGUAAUGGCUGUAACAACCUAGCUGGAUGGAGUCUUUCAGCCUUGGCUUGUUGGCAGACCUGGCAUUGUUGGAUGAAAUCUGCCACAUCCCUCUUAAGACCUUUCCAAGUGAAUAACUUUUUGAUACGGUGAUAAGUAGCCUGAACCCCGGAAUGGCCUCCUAGCACGCUAUCAUGAACAGCAGCGAUCAGUUUAGUGCGAAGUGCUGAAUUGUUGCCAACCCAUAUCAGUUUCUCCUUGCGAAUAAUACCCUUGUGCAGCCAAUAACCAGCCUCAUCUGGACUCUGAACGCACAACUGAGCUAGCAGAAUUUGAGCUUCAGAAUCAGUCUCGUAGGAGUUCAGUAUCUCCUGAAUCCAGAGGGGCUGAACUUCAGUAAUAGCCUGCAAGGACAUCAACUGACCCACCCGAGACAAAGCGUCUGCCACCAAAUUCUCCUUGCCCGGCUUGUAAACCACUUUAAACUGUAAACCCAUGAGUUUUGCCAUUGCCUUGCGCUGUAAUUCAGAAUGCAACACCUGAUCACCCAGGAAACUCAAGGACUUGUGGUCUGUACGAAUCUCAAAUUCGGCCCUCUGUAAAUACGGUCUCCACUUAUCCACUGCCAUGAUCAGUGCUAAAAACUCCUCAUAAAUAGAUAGGUGUCUGUUCUUUAGUCCCAGAGCUUUACUCAAAUAAGCCAAAGGUCUCCCUUGUUGCAUAAGGACUGCCCCCAAUCCAUCAUCACACGCGUCAGUCUCAAUCACAAAUGGAAGAGCAAAAUCAGGGAGUGCGAGGACUGGUGUCACUGACAUAGCGUGCUUCAAAGCUUCAAAAGCUUUCUGUGCAUCCUCAGUCCACCGAUACUCAUUUUUCUGCAGCAGCCUCGUAAGAGGUUUAGCAAUUACUCCAUACCCUUUCACAAAACGCCUGUAAUAGCCAGUUAAGCCAAGAAAUCCUCGGAGAGCUGUCACAUUAGUGGGUUGAGGCCAUCGCAGCAUAGCAUCAGUUUUCAAAGGAUCAGUAGCUACUCCUUCGGAAGAAAUAAUAUGGCCUAAAUAAGUAAGGGCCUGUUUCCCAAAGGCACAUUUCUUCUGUUUGAGAAAGAAUUGAUGUUGUCUGAGAGUAGAAAACACCAAACGCAGAUGUUCCAAGUGCUGCUGCCAAUUGGGACUAUAAACCAAAAUGUCAUCAAGGAAUACCAUAACAAAUUUCCUCAAAAAAGGCGCCAACACCAUAUUCAUGGCACAUUGAAACGUAGCAGGCGCAUUGGUAAGCCCAAAGGGCAUCACCUUGAACUGGUAGUGUCCCUGAUGAGUUUUGAAGGCCGUUUUAUACUCAUCACUUUCCCCCAUUCGUAUCUGAUGAUAGCCAGCAGUUAAGUCUAAACUAGAGAAGUAUUGAGUCCCAGCAAGCUCAUCGAUAAUCUCUUCCACAAGUGGCAUAGGAAAACGAUUCUUGAUCGUCAUAUCAUUCAACUUGCGGUAAUCAAUGCAGAACCACCAUGAUCCGUCCUUCUUUUGGACCAGCAAAACCGGAGAAGCAAACGGACUGACGCUAGGAACAAUUAGUCCUGCAGCAAGCAAUGCUGUCACUUGGUUCUCUAUUUCCGUUUUGUGAUGAGGAGAAUAACGAUAGGGUCGAGCAUUUACUGGUAUAGAACCAGGGAAAAGAGGGAUAUGAUGAUCAAAUGCUCGAGAAGGAGGCAAUGAAGUCGGAACAGCAAACACAUCCUGGAACUCAUCCACCAAGGCUUGUAUCUCAGUAGGAUCAGGAUGCACACCCUUGUUUGCAGCAGGCUCAAGCAAAGCAAAAACCCAUAUAUCAUUCCCUUUGAUACUCUUUUUAAGCUGCAGCACCGAUAUCUCAGUUACCUCCCUGACUUCAGUAAGAUCUCCCAAUAACUGAACUGUUUCGCCCCGAUCCUGAAAACUGAGCACUCUGUUACCCCAAUCACAGUUCAUGGGACUAUGUGAUUCCAGCCAAUCAAAACCGAGUAUGGCAUCAUAAGCUCCAAGUUCCAGUACCCUGAGAUCAGUAUAAAAAGUGUGACCAUUUGCCCACCAAGCCAACUGGUGUACCUGAGCUGCACUACUAAGGAAAUCACCCUUCGCUACCUGAACUCGAGCCAUAGUACAUGGACGAGUAUGCAGACCCAGUCUCUCCACAAAAUGUUUGUUAAUAAAACUGUUGGAGCUACCAGAAUCAACCAAGACUAGCAUAGUCUGAGUACCCACAAGAGCUCGGACCCUCAUACACCCUUCUUGAGUUGUACCUCGGAUGGCAUUCAGAGAAAGAUUAGGACCCUCUUCUACCAUCGGCUCAUCCUGCUCCAACUGAGAGAGCACCUCAUCAGUUAAGGUCAUACCCAACUCCUCUGCAGUCAAAGCAUUAAGCUGCAUUUGCAAUCGUUUGGGACAUUUGUUUUGAUGACCGGGUUCAAAUUUAUCCCCACAAGUGAAACAUAACCCUUGUUGUCUUCUAUAUUCCUUAACCACCCUUUCCUUGGACAAAUCAACUCCAGUAGACAGUGGUUUAACCUCAGAUUUGCUCACUGAACCAUACACUCGAGAUUGUCCUGAAAACCUCAGCAAUUUGUGCUUCUGCUUCUCUAGAAUAGAUUGAUGCAUCUGAGCUAACAAAGCAGCCCGAUCAACAGUAGUAGGCAAAUGAGAUUGAACCACACCCUGAAGUUCAGGUUUCAGUCCUUUAAUGAAAUGUGCUACAAACAGUGUUUCAUCCAAUGUAUGAUUAUGAACCGAGGUAGAAUAACGGAUCUCAUCAAACUCCUUCAAAUACUCCUCCACAGUUCCUCGCUGAUACAAAUCCAUCAACACUCGCAUGGCCUGCGGAUACUCAUCCACCCCAAACUUCUGCAACACAGCUUGAGCAAAUUCUGGCCACUCCCUGAGCCCAUGCUGAAGCUUAUACACCUCAAACCAGCGGGAAGCAUUGCCUUCCAUAUUCAAGGAUGCACUAGUAACCCACACAGCUUCAGGGACAUGGAAGAGAGUGAAGUAAUCAACACACUUACGUAACCAGAUUUUAGGUUCAAAGCCUUCAAAUCUGGGAAACAUCAUCUUCGGAAUCGGCAUGUUCUGGACGUCCCUGUUCUCAACCCGCCCAGCAAACCCAUCACGCUGAAAACCAGGAAAAACAUCACGAUACCUUCGAUUGUUGCCACCAGCAUCACGCCGGUCCCGAUCGCCGCGAUUCUGGUCAUUCCCACCAGCAUCCGCCGAUUCCAUGUCCCUUGCCAUCAGCUCGAGACGAAUUUCCGCCACUUCACGCCCCGUCUGCUCCAUCCGCUGCGCGAGGCGCAGACGCUCCUCUGCGGCCUUCUGGGCGACGGUAGCAGCGAGCUCCGCCUGAGCCAGCAACUGCUGUUGGACCUCAUCCAUGUCCACCACCUUGUCGGUAAGUCGAUCCAACUUGGUCAUCAAACGCUCCCACCGAUCGCCAUCCUCCUUCGCCUUAUCCGCCAUCGCUUCCAGAAUAAAGCGAGACUGCACCGAUGGCUUCGCAACCGGCGCCGUGAUGACCGCCGGGGACCCUCCACGCCGAGAUCGACCGAAUCUGAUACCACUGUGACACCCCUUGGCCGACGGCGAGUCGCCGCGACGUGAGACAACACAGGAUGAACGCGCGCAACUCUCAGGUGAGUUUGUGCGGUGGUUUUUCUCUCUAUUAUUUUCUUUCUGCUCAAGUCUUAGAGAUUACAGUAUUUAAGCCACGCUUGGCCGACCCACACCAAUCUCCAUAGCUAUGAGAAUACGGCCCAACAACGGCCCACACAACCACACACGCCCAAUGCUGCGCAACCAGCAACCUCUUGCCUUUCUCUUCUCUGAUGACGCCUUGUCAGUUAGGCACAGGCCUGACAUUGAGGCAAUGAUAUUGGUAAGUAUCUGCGCUAGGAUGCUCUCUGUCCUCCUCUCGUUGCUUAGCGCACGUUUGAUUGAAGUGAGGGCUUUAGGCGCGCGGGUUGGCGGUUCCCCAGUGUGAUCGCCGCCGUGCGGUGUGCGCGCGCCGCCGCCCUGGGCCGUCGGAAGUAGGAGACAUGCCUGGUCCGUUGGUUGCGCGAUGUGUGGCGGCGAUUAUGUCGAACAUACCGUUUCGUCCGGGUAAUUAGUGUCCGUUGGAUCAAGAGAUCGUGGAUAGGAUUAAAUUGCGCUUCUUUAAGACCACAACCGUCGAUCUGUGAUCUGACGGCCUCAGACUAGUACCGCUUCAUCCCAUCCGCGAUCUAAUCUAGGCCGUAGAAUUAGAUCUAGGCGGCCAGGAUCUCUGCGUACCCCUUCACCAUAGCUAACUUACAAAAUAGCCCCUGCACUUGUGUUAAACCAACCCGCAGUCCAUUGUACUGUGCUCUGUGUCUUAGUUAUUUAGUGCCAGGGCCCCUAUGCUUUCCUGUAUUCGUGGUGCAGUCUAGGAAUUAAAGAAAAUAGGAAAAAGAGAUUUAGAAGUUGAUUUUGAGUAUAAAAAUAAUUGUGAAACUUAUAUAAUUCAUAGAAAAUGCAUAUGAACUCCAAAUUGGUCCAUUCCAAUUUCUAUAAUUUUGUAAUAAUGUUGUUUAUCACCUAUUGUCUCUAUUUUAACAUGAAAAUGGUAUUAAAAUUUAUCUCUUAAUUAAUCUCAUAUCAAAUACACAAAACCUUAGGAAAUUCGUAUCUCCUCCGUGUUAAAUCCGAUUUGACUCGUUACAGUUGCGAUAGCUUCGUAUAAAUAUCUACUACACAAUAGCAACAUUUAUUAUAUGAUAUCCCAUACUUUUAUAAUUGGGUUAAUCUAUGUCUAUUGGAUUAACUUAUUUAAUAUUAAUAUAUAGUAUUCUAAUUUUAUGGUUAUAAUUCAACUAGAUAAUCUUUAAUCAAAUGAUGACUUGGAUUAAAUUUGAGAUAAUUAUUUAUAGAAUAUUUUCUCAUAUGAUCUAUACUAACCAAUUUAUAAUAUAGUUUAAUAUUUUAAUCACAUAGAUCUUCUAUAAAAUCAUAACUCCUUAACCGUAACUCCGAUUUUAGUGGUUCAUGUCCCCACGAUCUCGUAGCAACACGUAGAUUAUUAUUAUACAGUAUGUUCUUAUGUUUGGUGUGAUGUUAAUUUUGUCUAUACCAUGUCUGUUUAUAUUGCUACGACUAGCAGUGAGAUCACGAGGAUCUGAAGAAUCACCCUGAUAACUGGAAUCUCAAGUGCCAGGCAAGUUGUGCCCUUGAUCACAUUUGUUACCCAAUAAUGUUCUUUAUUAUCUCUUAUUCAAUGCAUAGGUUUAAUUUUGAUGGGACCCAAUAGGUCACCCUAAUUUGUUUAUCCUGUUUACCUUGUUUAUCCCUGAAUCAAUUGGGUAGUUAUGCUAUUGCUUUAUAUGGUUUUGGGAUAAUAUUUCAUUACAUCCAUGUUCCAAUUAUUUUGUUAUGUUAUUUAUGUUCAUGAUAAGAUCAUUAUGUUAAUCGGAACAUGGAGCGACCACCCGGGAAAACAGUGCUACCACAAGGGUUUAGUGGGACGCUCUUGGCUGAUUAACUAGGAAAGCUAGUGGAUGACUACCUUACCCGAAAGGGGCAAGGGCAGUAGGGGAGUGGUCAGUGUAGGGAGGUCCUUGGGUUGAUUUUGCUGCGAUGGCGGUCAGGCGAGGGAUUCCUGCACUGGAGCUUCCUAUAAACUGUAGCGGGUUUUCUGAAGCUAGUGGAACUUUGUAAAGGCCUCGUAGUGUUACCCUGCCUCGCUUCCUUGGUAGAGGUGUAUGGGAUUCAUGACCCCUUGGCAGAUGGGUAACACGGCUUGUGGGUAAAGAUGCGCAACCUCUGCAGAGUGUAAAACUAGUAUACUAGCCGUGCUCACGGUCAUAAGCGGCUCGGACCCUCACAUGAUUAAUUUAUGGAACCUAAUUCAAUUUGUCAUUUGCAUUGCAUGAGAUUUGUUCUUAAUUUUGUUCUAUUAUUUAUUAUGGUUUGGUAUUUACUUACACCUAGUAAUUGCUAAUAAAAUUUUGACUAACUUUAAAAGCAAUGUUCAACUUUAACCAUUCUCUUUGGUAAGCCUUACACUUCAUAUGAUCUCCCACCUUUGGUGAGUUCAUGCCACAUUAUUCCCCACAACUUGUUGAGCGAUGAACAUGUGUGAGCUCACCCUUGCUGUCUCACACCCCCCCACAGGAGAAGAACAGGUGGUUCAAGAGGAGCCGCAUAUCGAGGAGUUCGAUUCGAUCUAGGUGGUGUCUCCCAGUCGACUUUCUGGCGCCAAUGAUAGAUUUUAGAUCCUGUUAUAUUUAUCUUGUAUUUCGUAAGACUUCCGCUAUGUAAUAAGUACUCUGAUUAUUGUGAUAUUUAUC